rnacentral:rRNA from 1 species
ACUCCUACGGGAGGCAGCAGUGGGGAAUAUUGCACAAUGGGCGCAAGCCUGAUGCAGCCAUGCCGCGUGUGUGAAGAAGGCCUUCGGGUUGUAAAGCACUUUCAGUUGUGAGGAAGGUGGUGUCGUUAAUAGCGGCAUCAUUUGACGUUAGCAACAGAAGAAGCACCGGCUAACUCCGUGCCAGCAGCCGCGGUAAUACGGAGGGGUGCGAGCGUUAAUCGGAAUUACUGGGGCGUAAAGCGCAUGCAGGUGGUUUGUUAAGUCAGAUGUGAAAGCCCGGGGCUCAACCUCGGAACUGCAUUUGAAACUGGCAGACUAGAGUACUGUAGAGGGGGUAGAAUUUCAGGUGUAGCGGUGAAAUGCGUAGAGAUCUGAAGGAAUACCGGUGGCGAAGGCGGCCCCCUGGACAGAUACUGACACUCAGAUGCGAAAGCGU